GACUGGCUCAUCAGCCGUUUCAGAUUUCCAAGGGCUAUACUCUUGGAGCUCUGCGCUGAGUUGGGUCCGAAUUUGGAAAGAGAGACAGUGAGGAGCCACGCAUUACCCGUUCCUUUACAGGUGCUUACUACACUUGGUUUCCUAGCAACCGGUUCUUUCCAAAGAGAACUGGCAGACCGCUCAGGAAUAAGCCAGUCGUGUUUGAGCCGUGCAAUGCCACCUGUAUGGGACGGCAUCAUCCGCUUGUCUACCAGGUAUAUAACGUUCCCAUACGAUGCAGGUGACCAGCCAAACAUCAAAGCGCAAUUUGCAGCGAUAGCCGGUUUUCCUAAUGUAAUCGGAGCGAUCGACUGCACACAUAUUGCUAUAAAGGCGCCAUCUGAAGACGAAUUUGCAUAUGUGAAUCGGAAACAUUUCCAUUCAAUAAAUGUGCAGAUUAUAUGUGAUGCACAAAUGUGCCUAACAAAUAUUGUGGCAAGGUGGCCUGGGUCAACCCAUGAUUCAUAUAUCCUUACAAACAGCAUGGUUGGGAUGAGACUCCAAGCUGGCAGGGUGCGCGAUGGGUGGCUACUUGGAGACAGUGGUUAUCCACUAAAGACGUGGCUGUUAACCCCCCUCACCAACCCACAAACUGACCGAGAGCGCAGAUACAAUGAUGCCCAUUCCCGCACUCGGUCAGUUGUGGAGCGAGCGAUUGGGCAGCUGAAAUGUCGGUGGCGCUGCCUUGACAGGACCGGGGGGAUGCUGUUAUACCGCCCUGACAAGGUUUGCCGCAUCAUACUGGCCUGUGGAGUGCUGCACAAUGUCGCGCACAGGCAUGGCAUACCCCUUGGUGAGGUGGGGGCACCGCCAGAUGACCCUGACCCAGGACCAGUAUAUGUGCAGCACAAUCAACAAGCCAUUCAGGCCCGUCAACGUGUAAUUGCGACAAUAUAAAUGGUACUCAGACACAAAGUUCAUUUUUUGACCAAUUCUUUUAAUGAAUGGCUUAUUUCUGUGAGUGCGUCAGUGACAUUUUUAAGGUGACUGUUCAUUUCUUCAAUGGCCCUAACAAUUUGUUGUUGUGACUCCAGAACAGCAUGCGUCAAGACACGGCCAGAUGGACGGGCUUCAGCACUGGGGGGAACAUUAGAGACACGGGAGACGCUGGACUGAAUGGGCUCUGGCUGCUCAGGUGGUGCGGACUCUGAGUGCGUGCCAGUGGACGUUCCUGCGGUUCCUAAGUCCAAUUAAACACAGGCACAUCUUAACAGUAAUUUGAGUCUGUUCCUUAUUAAUGGGUACACGCAUUUGCAAUAAAAGCAGUGGAUACGUGAAA